GAGAUGUAGAGGAGAAGAAGAGAUAGGGGAGAACUUUUUUCUGUAUUGAAAUGAGACCCAAUAAAAUCCACACCCAACAAAGCAACACCCGACUAGAUUGUUACAAAUUUUGCAAAAUUUCCAAUAUGAUUAUAAUAGAACAGAAUUAGAGGGGAAGCAAUGAAAACAAAAAACAAAUAAUAAAAGAAUAUUAAAAAAAAAAA
rnacentral:misc_RNA from 1 species